GAUGAACGCUGGCGGCGUGCCUAAUACAUGCAAGUCGAGCGGUAAGGCCUCUUCGGAGGUACACGAGCGGCGGACGGCUGAGUAACACGUAGGAACGUACCCCAAACUGAGGGAUAAGCACCAGAAAUGGUGUCUAAUACCGCAUGUGCUCUAAGGAGUAAAGCUUCGGCGGUUUGGGAACGGCCUGCGCACGAUUAGAUUGUUGGUGAGGUAAUGGCUCACCAAGUCGACGAUCGUUAGCUGGUCUGAGAGGAUGAUCAGCCAGACUGGGACUGAGAACGGCCCAGACUCCUACGGGAGGCAGCAGUAGGGAAUUUUCCACAAUGGGCGAAAGCCUGAUGGAGCAACGCCGCGUGCAGGAUGAAGGUCUUAGGAUUGUAAAAUUCUUUCACCGGGGACGAUAAUGACGGUACCCGGAGAAGAAGCCCCGGCUAACUUCGUGCCAGCCGCCGCCGUAA
rnacentral:rRNA from 1 species